rnacentral:tRNA from 1 species
AUUAGGGUCUGCUACAUAAGCAAUUGGGCCCAUACCCCAAAAACGGAUUAUACCCCCUAAUA